UGAUUUGCUCGUAGGGCGCGAGCAAGGUAAACGAAAAAAAGCCCAUCGAGA
rnacentral:ncRNA from 1 species